rnacentral:rRNA from 1 species
UACGUAGGGGGCUAGCGUUGUCCGGAUUUAUUGGGCGUAAAGGGCGCGUAGGCGGCCACCGCAAGUCGACUGUGAAAUCUCCGGGCUUAACCCGGAAAGGUCAGCCGAUACUGCGGGGCUAGAGUGCAGAAGGGGCAAGCUGGAAUUCUCGGUGUAGCGGUGAAAUGCGUAGAUAUCGAGAGGAACACCUGCGGCGAAGGCGGGUUGCUGGGCUGACACUGACGCUGAGGCGCGAAAGCUAGGGGAGCGAACGGG